CACCCAGAUCUGCGGCCUAAU
rnacentral:miRNA from 1 species